rnacentral:rRNA from 1 species
GUCGAACGAGAGAAGAGAAGCUUGCUUUUCUGAUCUAGUGGCGGACGGGCGUAUUAACACGUGAGCAAUCUGCCUUUCAGAGGGGGAUACCGAUUGGAAACGAUCGUUAAUACCGCAUAACAUAAUUGAACCGCAUGAUUUGAUUAUCAAAGAUUUAUCGCUGAAAGAUGAGCUCGCGUCUGAUUAGCUAGUUGGUAAGGUAACGGCUUACCAAGGCGACGAUCAGUAGCCGGACUGAGAGGUUGAUCGGCCACAUUGGGACUGAGACACGGCCCAGACUCCUACGGGAGGCAGCAGUGGGGAAUAUUGCACAAUGGAGGAAACUCUGAUGCAGCGAUGCCGCGUGAGGGAAGAAGGUUUUAGGAUUGUAAACCUCUGUCUUCAGGGACGAAAAAAGACGGUACCUGAGGAGGAAGCUCCGGCUAACUACGUGCCAGCAGCCGCGGUAAUACGUAGGGAGCGAGCGUUGUCCGGAAUUACUGGGUGUAAAGGGAGCGUAGGCGGGAUCGCAAGUCAGAUGUGAAAACUAUGGGCUUAACCCAUAAACUGCAUUUGAAACUGUGGUUCUUGAGUGAAGUAGAGGUAAGCGGAAUUCCUAGUGUAGCGGUGAAAUGCGUAGAUAUUAGGAGGAACAUCAGUGGCGAAGGCGGCUUACUGGGCUUUAACUGACGCUGAGGCUCGAAAGCGUGGGGAGCAAACAGGAUUAGAUACCCUGGUAGUCCACGCCGUAAACGAUGAUUACUAGGUGUGGGGGGACUG